rnacentral:lncRNA from 1 species
CUGCGAGGUUCAGUGAGCUCCCUCCUGCAGACAGUAGCCAGAGAUGAGGAUAUGUCCUGGGCCAGGCGGGAGCAGCAGGCACUGGGCAGAGUCCCUUCUAGAGGUGGGAGGUGUACUGUACUAAUUAUAAGACCUGUAUAUUAAUAUGUGAUUAUUUGAUAACCUUUGAAGCCGAAGGAGGUUAGAAGUAUUAAUUUUUGCGUGUUUAUAUGCAUUCAUUCAUGCAUGCCUAAAAUAUUCCUAUUGAUAUUCUUUUAAUCUUUUUCCCCUCUCCGUUUCUCCUUCAUCUUUCCUCUCCCUCCAGCACCGUCUCCCCUCCCCAGCCGCUCUCGCUCCAGUUCAGUGGGGGAAUCUUUAGGCCUGGGAGGAGGGAGAGUCAUGAGAGCGCUGGUCUCUCAUCCCUCCUCAUCCAACCCAAAGCUCCUGCCUUUCAACAGGGGUGAAACUGUCAUCGUCCUGGUCCAGGAGCCACGCAACGGGUGGCUGUAUGGGCGCACUGACAGCAGCCUGCGUCAGGGCUGGUUCCCUGCUGCAUACGUUGCCCCUAUUGAGGAUUUCUCCAAUAAUUUAGCAACAAGUGGCAGUUCUCUAAGAAGUCACAGUAUGAACAAUCUGAAUGACAGUGACACGUACGCCGACCAGUCAGAGAGCAAGAGUUACGGAGACGUCCCACCCCCGGCCACACCCAAUCGUAGAGCCUCAGUGGACUUCAGGCCUAUCUCUCCACUCCCUGAGAAGAAGGGAGAAGAGGCGUUGGAGACGAAGCCGAGUCAAACAAGGAGCUACAAUGAACAUCCACUUCCUCCCCCACCGCCUCCCCCUCCACCAAUUCAGAAUGCAAGGAGGAGUUCAGGAGAUUUUCGGCCCACCUCUCCCCUAACUGACAGAAAGGGUGGAGCAGCAUCUGACGUCCAGGCAUUAUCACCACAUGGACCCCAUGAAAACCCACUGUUUCCCAGGUAA